UACGUAGGGUGCAAGCGUUAAUCGGAAUUACUGGGCGUAAAGCGUGCGCAGGCGGUUUUGUAAGACCGAUGUGAAAUCCCCGGGCUUAACCUGGGAACUGCAUUGGUGACUGGCAGGCUUUGAGUGUGGCAGAGGGAGGUAGAAUUCCACGUGUAGCAGUGAAAUGCGUAGAGAUGUGGAGGAAUACCGAUGGCGAAGGCAGCCUCCUGGGCCAACACUGACGCUCAUGCACGAAAGCGUGGGGAGCAAACAGG
rnacentral:rRNA from 1 species